rnacentral:rRNA from 1 species
UACCAGCACCCCGAGUGGUCGGGACGAUUAUUGGGCCUAAGGCAUCCGUAGCCGGUUUUACAAGUCCUCCGUUAAAUCCAGCUGCUUAACAGAUGGGCUGCGGAGGAUACUAUAAGACUAGGAGGCAGGAGAGGCAAGCGGUACUCAGUGGGUAGGGGUAAAAUCCGUUGAUCCAUUGAAGACCACCAGUGGCGAAGGCGGCUUGCCAGAAUGCGCUCGACGGUGAGGGAUGAAAGCUGGGGGAGCAAACCGG